rnacentral:lncRNA from 1 species
UUUCAGGGAGAAUUCCAGGCAUGGACCAAGUGAUGUGGCAUCAGCAGGUCCCCAUCAGAGCUGUGGAGGUGGCUUCUGUCUCACGACGGUUCUUGUCUUCUUUGCUCACAAACCCCGGAAUGCUCUUGAUCUCUGCGUCUUCCACUCCUGUUCCUCAGGUUUCAUCAAAGUGUGAGUCCCCAGGUGUCCAAUAAAAGCAUUUUCCCAU